rnacentral:tRNA from 1 species
GCCGGAAUAGCUCAGUUGGUAGAGCAGGGGAUGAAAAUCCUCGUGUCACCAGUU